rnacentral:rRNA from 1 species
AUGAGCACCUCCGAGAUCCCCACCGCCAUUGCCGACAUGGUCGUUGACUUCACCGAGCCGCUCCUAGCCGCCAUCCUCCUCUCCGCCGAGAACUGCUCUGGUAAAAAGCUACUCCUCUUGUUCAAGUCUGCCGGGAAGAACAACCCUGAUGUCAAGAGCCUUGCCAAUCUUGACAUCGUCGCGAGCAAGGUUGCUGAUUCAGCUGAGAUUGACGAGAUGGACGCGUACAUGCUCUGGGAUUUGGUGAAGGAAAUGGGCAGUGUGCCAGGAUCAUUGAGCACCCCACUGCUGAACAAAGUGCUAGCAAUAUUCUGGAAGCUCGAGAAAUCGAAGGCGGCGCUAGAGGUGCUUGACAAGUUCAGUGAGUUUGGCUGUACUCCGGACGGUGACAGCUAUUAUCUGGCGAUUCAAGCGGCUGGAAAGAAGUCCAUGGUUGGUGCUGCAUGGGGAGUUUGCGAGAAGAUGAUUAGCUCCGGGUGCUUCCCUGAUGGGAAGAAGACCGGUGAGAUUGUGUCCUUCUUUUGCCAGGGGAAGAAGGUAACAGAGGCACAUUCAGUAUACCUAGCAGCGAAGGAGAAGAAGGUUCAGAUUCCUACAUCAUCCUUGGAUUUCCUUGUUGGUGCUUUGGCGAAGAAUGACGAGACCAUCAGUACCGCUCUGGAGCUGCUGGUUGAAUACAAAGGAGAGUCUCUUAAGCAUGCAGGCAAGUCCUUUGCUGCCGUUAUACAUAGUUUGUGCAGGAUGAAGAAUGUGAAGGAUGCAAAGAAGCUGUUGAUGAGGAUGGUGAAUCUUGGCCCAGCUCCUGGUAGUGCAGUGUUCAACUUUGUCAUCACAGGAUUGUCUAAAGAGGGAGAAAUGGAGGACGCAAAGGGUUUGAUAAGAGUGAUGGAAAGCCGAGGGCUGCGCCCUGAUGUUUAUACAUACAGUGUGAUCAUGAGUGGCUACAUAAAGGGAGGCAUGAUUGAUGAAGCUCAUUCUCUACUUCGCGAAGCUAAGAAGAUCCAUGCAAAACCAAGCAGGGUUACUUAUCACAUACUGAUCCGUGGUUACUGCAAGAUGGAGGAGUUCGAGAAGGCCCUGGAGUGCCUAAAGGAGAUGAAGGAGGACGGGUUGCAGCCAAAUAUGGAUGAGUAUAGCGAACUCAUCCAGUCGUUGUGUCUGAAGUCUAUGGACUGGAGAACAGCUGAGAAGCUCCUGGAGGAAAUGGAGGGCAGUGGAUUAUGCCUUAAGGGCAUUAUCCGCAGCCUCAUACCAGCAGUCAAGGAGUUGGAAACGGAAGAGGCGUCAAAAGACAGCCAAGAAGCA